rnacentral:rRNA from 1 species
GAUGAACGCUAGCGGCAGGCUUAACACAUGCAAGUCGAGGGGUAGAGGUUGCUUGCAACCUUGAGACCGGCGCACGGGUGCGUAACGCGUAUGCAACCUACCUUUUACAGAGGGAUAGCCCAGAGAAAUUUGGAUUAAUACCUCAUAGUAUAUAACCUUCGCAUGUUGGUUAUAUUAAAGUUCCAACGGUAAAAGAUGGGCAUGCGUCCUAUUAGCUAGAUGGUAAGGUAACGGCUUACCAUGGCAACGAUAGGUAGGGGUCCUGAGAGGGAGAGCCCCCACACUGGUACUGAGACACGGACCAGACUCCUACGGGAGGCAGCAGUGAGGAAUAUUGGACAAUGGGCGCAAGCCUGAUCCAGCCAUGCCGCGUGCAGGAAGAAGCAUCUAUGGUGUGUAAACUGCUUUUGUACAGGAAGAAACACCCCGACGUGUCGGGACUUGACGGUACUGUAAGAAUAAGGAUCGGCUAACUCCGUGCCAGCCGCCGCCGUAAUAC